AUACGGAGGGUGCAAGCGUUGUUCGGAAUCACUGGGCGUAAAGGGCGCGCAGGCGGUUUGGUAAGUCAGAUGUGAAAGCCCAUGGCUCAACCAUGGACGUGCAUUUGAAACUGUCAGACUUGAGUACUAGAGGGGAAAGUGGAAUUCCCGGUGUAGAGGUGAAAUUCGUAGAUAUCGGGAGGAAUACCGGUGGCGAAGGCGACUUUCUGGCUAGAUACUGACGCUGAGGCGCGAAAGCGUGGGGAGCAAACAGGAUUAGAAACCCCAGUAGUCC
rnacentral:rRNA from 1 species